AGCAGCCGCGGUAAUUCCAGCUCCAAUAGCGUAUAUUAAAGUUGUUGCAGUUAAAAAGCUCGUAGUUGAAUUUCGGGGUUAGUAGGUUGGUCAUGCCUCUGGUAUGUACUGGUCUCACUGAUUCCUCCUUCCUGAUGAGCCGUAAUGCCAUUAAUUUGGUGUUGCGGAGAAUUUGGACUGUUACUUUGAAAAAAUUUAGAGUGUUUAAAGCAGGCUCGCGCUUGAAUACAUUAGCAUGGAAUAAUGAAAUAGGACGUUUGACCCUAUUUUGUUGGUUUCUAGGAUCGACGUAAUGAUUAAUAGGGAUAGUUGGGGGCAUUAGUAUUCAAUUGUCAGAGGUGAAAUUCUUGGAUUUAUUGAAGACUAACUACUGCGAAAGCAUUUGCCAAGGAGUUUUCAUUAAUCAAGAACGAAAGUUAGGGGAUCGAAGACGAUCAGAUACCGUCGUAGUCUUAACCAUAAACUAUGCCGACUAGGGAUCGGAUGAUGUUAUUUUUAAUGACUCAUUCGGCGCCUUACG
rnacentral:rRNA from 1 species